GAUGAACGCUGGCGGCGUGCCUAAUACAUGCAAGUCGAACGAAACUUCUUUAUCACCGAGUGCUUGCACUCACCGAUAAAGAGUUGAGUGGCGAACGGGUGAGUAACACGUGGGCAACCUGCCCAAAAGAGGGGGAUAACACUUGGAAACAGGUGCUAAUACCGCAUAACCAUAGUUACCGCAUGGUAACUAUGUAAAAGGUGGCUAUACUACCGCUUUUGCAUGGGCCCGCGGCGCAUUAGCUAGUUGGAGGGUAAAGGCUUACCAAGGCAAUGAUGCGUAGCCGAAUUGAGAGGUUGAUCGGCCACAUUGGGACUGAGACACGGCCCAAACUCCUACGGGAGGCAGCAGUAGGGAAUCUUCCACAAUGGGCGAAAGCCUGAUGGAGCAACGCCGCGUGGGUGAAGAAGGUCUUCGGAUCGUAAAACCCUGUUGUUAGAGAAGAAAGUGCGUGAGAGUAACUGUGCACGUUUCGACGGUAUCUAACCAGAAAGCCACUGCUAACUACGUG
rnacentral:rRNA from 1 species